rnacentral:lncRNA from 1 species
CGGGCUGCAGUUUCUGACUUCUGCGGCCCGCACCGAUCAUUGAUACCCAUUCUGUGUGUAACGAGCAUAGGGGAGAAAAGAAUUCCUGUGAUUAAUACAUACAAUAUGUUGCAGGAUAAUAUGUGGCUCCAGGGUUAGAGUGGAAGUGUCAACGGGGAUGCCUCGUCGCUCCCGUUACGACAGGCCUCCUGCGCGGCGCCCCUUUGAUCCUAAUGACAGAUGCUACGAGUGUGGUGAGAAAGGCCACUAUGCUUAUGAUUGUCACCGCUAUAGUCGCCGAAGGAGGAGCAGGUUUCUUCGUUUGAGUCAGUCGCCUUGAUUCAGAAUGUCACGAGCCUUAAGAUUUCAUGCUGAGGCGCCUUGCAAAUCCGACACUUAAGAUCCUCCUAGACCUUGAGGUGAUCAGCAUAAGAGGCCAGAUCCCCUCGAGCCAUCUACACGUAGCUUCACCUUAUUCUUUAAGGGCAGAAAAUUUGAGACGGUGAUCGCCGUAACAGUAAAUUUGGCUUUCAAUUGGGGCCCCCCUCCGGUUUAGAAAGAGGAACACCAGAUUGACCACAUUCCCACCUAGAAAAAUCUUCUUGCGUCAAUCAAGCCUCACCCUGGCUCAUUGGGCUGUCAGUUUGAUCGUCGUUAGAUUGAAGAGAACACCUAGAUGCAGCGAUCGGCUAUAGAUACUUCUAGAUCGUCUAGAUCUGCUAGACCUUGGGCCAAAGAGGGUCGACCUGCAAACUUGCAAGGUCCCGGUCUAGAUCCCGUUCAAGGUCCCGAGGAAGAAGGUAUUCUCGGUCACGCAGUCGGAGUCGUGGUAGGAGGUCCCGGUCAGCUUCCUAUCGUAGGUCCCGGUCCAUUUCUCCUCGUAGGUCUAGGUCUGUGUCUCCCCGCCGGUCCCGAUCGGGUUCCUUGAAGAGAUCAAGGUCUAGAUCAAGAUCCA